CCUCUCUCGGGGAAGCUAGGAGCACUGCAGGAGCUAAACGCCAGGAGACAAAGCUGAACGGAGUAGAGCUGGAUGAACGCCCUGGUGUACUGCUGCAAGGGUGGAGCCCGAGCCAGGCACGGUGGUGCAAAGCUUCAGGACUGAUAAGGAAAGGCUCUGAUGGAGAGGCCUCUCCUCCUCCGGCUCAUCUGCCAUUUUUCACUAGUGAUUGAUGCCGAACAAACCGCUCCAGAUCUGGUGGCUGGGACAUCCCCUCUUAGGACCUAUCCUGCGAUGCCACAUAGAGCCGCCUCAGUCACUGUCUAGGCCCUCUCAGACCUGGUGAAAGCAACCGACUGGAGUUCCUAAUCGGAGAAAGAAGAGAGACCAGAGGAUAACUUUUGAGAGUUAGCUCUCUCUUUCUCCCAUGGGACCAAACUCAGGUCGUUGAAACAGCACAGCAAGAACUGUUGCUCACUGAGACAUCUCCUCAGACCUGGAAUCUGUUGUCAUUUGAAGAAAAUGUUCCUGAUAUUUGGGAAACGUCAACUGAAGGAAAACUCAGGACUCACUGGGAUCCCCCAGCCACAGACACUCCAAAGCCAGGGACAUCUCUGCCUUCUGGAUCUUCUGAGUGUUUGGCUAACAAGGCCCCUGUCACCAAGCUGACAUCCAAGUGACCUCAGAGUCCCUUCUCAAGACACAAAAGUCUUUCAAGUCAAAAUCGAGUGCAGCAUCCAGGCCUGUUCUGCUGCUUAAAGACGGGGUGCUCCCUCAGUUAGCAGCUGUGAGUUGCUUAUGACACUUGACAUUUGACCUUCUCAGGGGGUCAGCCUUUAUGUAGCCACACUUGCCUGCCCAAGCAGGGACAGUAGGUGUCCAAAGCUUGGUGAUUGGCCUUCACCUAGUAUAGGAGGAACGUGCAGGGCUUGCCUUUUUUUUUUAACUUCUUUUUUUUAUGUGUGUGUGUGCUUUGUCUGCAUGUAAAUCUGUGUACCCUUGCAUGUCU